CUGUGGACUCACUUCUUCUUCAGACUUGGAGAAUCUGUGCCUGUAUCUGAAACUUAGUAAUAUUUUUACUUAUUUGUCAAAUUGUAAAUAUGCUGGCAAGUUAGUGACGUUCCUGUGCAAAAAGUAAAUUUUACGUGUGUUCACGUCGACGUCACGAGCCCCAUUUUCUGCGACACUCUUGAGCGGGUCGGUUUUAAAUCCACCUUUUUUCAUUGAUUUCAUUUCAUGACCUUAAACUUUCUCUCCAGAAAACUUUAAACUAAAGGAAUAGCCCCCAAAAAUGACCCUCAAGUCAGAUACGUGGUCAUGUCCCAUCUGCCGGGGAAUGUGUAACUGCAGUUUGUGUCGUAAGAAGGAGGGCCGCUGCGCCACGGGGACCCUGGUGGCCCUGGCGCGCUACAACGGCCACGACAACGUCCACGAGUAUUUGGAGAGUAUCCAGAAGGAGCUGCAGUGAAAUCCAGAAAACUAAACCUCUUCUGGUGCUUCACCGUACUGUAAAAAUAUUUUAACGCACAUUUUAAUCCCCAACACAUUUCUGACCUUUUAUCCAACUUGACAAAACAACAUUGUUGGGAAUUUUUUUUUUUAUGUCACCUUAAUGAGUAUCAUACUAUAGAUAUUUUUUAUAUGUAUAUCCUGGUUUGUGUUGCAGGGAUGUUUUUGUUCUUUAUGUCAGACCUUUAAAUUGUAAAAAUGUUCCUAAACUUGAUUUGUUUUCUUUUACCUAAAUGUUAUAGUGUGCCUUUUUAUAGCAAAAACUAUGAAGCUUUGAUUCAAAUAACUUUGUAACACUUUAUACCAUUCCCACUGGUUUACUUUUUACAUCUUAAUAAAGUUUGUGAAAAGGAGAA